rnacentral:sRNA from 1 species
CUGGAAUCCCGGAGCCUCAGCGCUCGGCCCUGCUCGCCAGGUGCUGCCCCCUCAGAGAGCCACAGUCUCGGAGCUGACGGACCUGGGGAGCGUGAGGCGGAGCCGAGCCUGGAGUCCCCAGCAACUAGUUCUAGGUUCGAGGCUUGGACAGGCCGGCACCCCAGCCCGGCACCCAUGGUGUAGUUGUCCGCGACGUCAACCCGUGGUGCCUAAGUGUCUAGAGAGCUGAGUGGGUUGCCUCGGAUCGGCCAGGCCUGGAUAUCAGCGAACAGAUGCGGAUUUCCACCAGGGGGCGCUAGGACGCCACGACCUUUCACUAUGUCCACCAGGGGGAGCUGCCGCCCGCCUUGGCCAUCCCCGGCUGGGAAGUCCGACUCUUGGAUUAAGCCCCGCCUGAUUGGGAAAGGCUCUGAGAAACUAUUUGCAUGAUCUUGAAAGGACCGUGCUGAAUGGUUGAGGUAGGUAAGCCGAAUGUGAAACAGGCUCUCUCAUUGGCCUAAAUUUCCCCCCUCGCUCUGCGUCGCCAUCCCCGCCCUGCUGGACCCCGGGGUCAGUAGGAAGCCGCGGGGU